CCUACGGGAGGCUGCAGUGAGGAAUAUUGCACAAUGGGGGAAACCCUGAUGCAGCGACGCCGCGUGAGUGAAGAAGUAUUUCGGUAUGUAAAGCUCUAUCAGCAGGGAAGAAAAUGACGGUACCUGAUUAGGAAGCCCCGUCUAACUACGUGCCAGCAGCCGCGGUAAUACGUAGGGGGCAAGCGUUAUCCGGAUUUACUGGGUGUAAAGGGAGCGUAGACGGCAGGACAAGUCUGGAGUGAAAUGCCGGGGCUCAACCCGGGAACUGCGUGGGAAACUGGGCAGCUAGAGUGCAGGAGAGGUAAGUGGAAGUCGUAGUGUAGCGGUGAAAUGCGUAGAUAUGAGGAGGAACACCAGUGGCGAAGGCAGCUUACUGGAGUGGAACUGACGUUGAGGCUCGAAAGCGUGGGUAGCAAACAGGAUUAGAUACCCUAGUAGUC
rnacentral:rRNA from 1 species